GUUUGGGGAUCUCUGCGCUUCCUAGACUUGUAAGUCUAUUUCUUUCACCAGAUUCCCACAGCCCUUUACCUCAGCAAUUCUACAGUGGGGAAGGAGAAUACCUAGAUCUUUCAAGGAUCUGAUUUGGCACUGAUAACAGGAGAACCAAAACCUCACCAUGGCCUCUUUUGAAUGGAGCACAUAGAACCAUGUGAUAAAUGGCCCAGCAGGGACACAGCACUACUCACCACCCAAGCCUUCCUGAGACCUGACCACCAUUAUUGGCAUAACUAACAGCAGCAAGGAGAUGCAGCAGAUCUGCAGGACAGCAAACACUGUCUAGCCAGGUAUCUGGCUUGGAGGAGGCCUUUGUCUACUCUCUAAGCAGGCGGAGGCUUCCCUCUAGCAAGUGGCAGGGGCUACUUCUACCAACCCAGAGGUGCCAGGGAAUCUGAAAGUUUAAGGUUCUCAAGUGCAUUACCCCAGAUUUCCCAUCUCAGAUAUCAGGAUUCUACCCU